rnacentral:lncRNA from 1 species
CAGCCGUCACGCUGAGGAUGAACUGUUUUAAACUUCAUGCAGCAGAGGCAGAUUAGUUCUUUAGUCACUGAAGCAAUGGGAGCUGUGUGGACCUUCCUCGUUUCUGUUUUCACUGUCUGGCUUGUUGAAGCUUCUUGUUUGGAAAGGCAUGGCACAAAUGAAAAACAUGAUGGAUUGUACAAGAGACUGACGGAGCUGGAAACCACCAAUAUGGAUGCUAAGGCAUCUGGUGACUGCCUGACCUGUAGCUACACCACCAACCUGACAACUGGUGGCAUCGCCAUUGCACUUGCAGGUAGAAACUGCAACACCCCGGUGCCCAGCCGCAACAUCGCUGCCCUAAAGAGACCACGCCCCCAGGGUCAGUUGGUAUGGAAACCAAGCCCGAGCUUGACAACAACAGCGGCACAAUACCCACCCAAACUGCCACCAGGGCCGUGGCUGUCAAAGUGGUGGCGUUGCUAUCAUCGUGAAGUUCAGCCAACCCAAGGCCCGCAAACACUGAUGCCAAAACAGUAGAGUUGUUCAGGUGUCCACAGAAGGUACCUGGAAUGACAUGGUACAGCUAAAGUAAAGACGGUGUAGAUCUCCACAUGCCACAAAGACCUACUGCAUCGAUAUCGAGGUCUCCAGUCAGUUUAGCAUGUAAAGAAAGGGUUUGAGCAAGAGCAAUUUCCAUGUAGCUGCUGUAAUAAGUGUUGUCUUUGAAUAAAACUGUAACAACAUAUUGUUUUUUCUUUAUUCUUCC